AUUGAACGCUGGCGGCAGGCUUAACACAUGCAAGUCGAACGAGUGGCGGACGGGUGAGUAAUGUCUGGGAAACUGCCAGAUGGAGGGGGAUAACUACUGGAAACGGUAGCUAAUACCGCAUACCAUCAGAUGUGCCCAGAUGGGAUUAGCUAGUAGGUGGGGUAAUGGCUCAACUAGGCGACGAUCCCUAGCUGGUCUGAGAGGAUGACCAUCCACACUGGAACUGAGAAACGUUCCAGACUCCUACGGGUGGCAGCAGUGGGGAAUAUUGCCCAAGGGGCGCAAGCCUGAUGCAGCCAUGCCGCGGGUAUGAAGAAGGCCGUCGGGUUGUAAAGUACUUUCAGCGAGGAGGCGUUACCCGCAGAAGAAGCACCGGCUAACUCCGUGCCAGCAGCCGCGGUAAUUC
rnacentral:rRNA from 1 species